UGUAGCUUAGCGUAGUGGGUAACGCGUCUGCCUCAUACGCAGCGGACCCGAGUUCAAUGCCCGGUACAA
rnacentral:tRNA from 1 species